ACACAAUGUUCGAUUUAACAAGAAAAACCAUUACUCAUUUAAAACUUUGAGGAUCGAAGCAACUGUAUAGGAAAAAACAUGUCGGAUAAAAUCGUAACUUCAUCGCAGGCGGACCUAGAAAUGGAACAGAGGACAUUGUCUCUGCUUAAAUAUAUUGCUGCCAAGAUGUGCAAGAAGGACCCUUUCCAGAGACCGACCGCCGAAAAAGUUAUUACCAUGCUGACAGAAAAGGACGCGAAAUCUGAAGACGGGAAAGGCAAUGCAUUGAGCAAAAUAUAAUAAACAAAGAAUUCGAACAAUUGAAGAAACCGAGUUCAUGAAAUCAACAUUGUAUAUUCAGAAUGACUUUUAUCUCAAGUGUAAAAACAAUUACAUUAACCCACUCAAGUGUAUAUAUAAUUACUGUUUACUCUCUCAAGUGUAUAUAGAAUUACUGUUAACUACAUAUAAUCUCAAGUGCAUAUAGAAUUACUGUAAACUAAGUGUAUCUCAAGUGUGUAUAGAAAUACUGUAAACUAAGUGUAUCUCAAGUGUAUAUAGAAUUACGUACUGUAAAAUAAGUGCAUCUAAAGUGUAUAUAGAAUUAUUGUAAACCAAGUGUAUCUCAAGUGUAUUUUAGAAAUAACCACAUUUUAAAUGGCACAUUUACAAGUAGAAGUUAUUUAGUUAAACAUUUGGGGGUAAGAAUUUAAUAAUUAGGAAUUCGAAAAUUAUUUUUGCAAAAACUCUAUUUUGAUUUAAUUCAAUACACAUAGCUG